rnacentral:rRNA from 1 species
AGCCUGAUCAGCCAUGCCGCGUGAGUGAUGAAGGCCUUAGGGUCGUAAAGCUCUCGCCAGGGAUGAUAAUGACAGUACCUGGUAAAGAAACCCCGGCUAACUCCGUGCCAGCAGCCGCGGUAAUACGGAGGGGGUUAGCGUUGUUCGGAAUUACUGGGCGUAAAGCGCGCGUAGGCGGGUUGUUAAGUUAGAGGUGAAAUCCCGGGGCUCAACCCCGGAACUGCCUUUAAUACUGGCAACCUAGAGUUCGAGAGAGGUGAGUGGAAUUCCGAGUGUAGAGGUGAAAUUCGUAGAUAUUCGGAGGAACACCAGUGGCGAAGGCGGCUCACUGGCUCGAUACUGACGCUGAGGUGCGAAAGUGUGGGGAGCAAACAGGAUUAGAUACCCUGGUAGUCCACACCGUAAACGAUGAAUGCCGUCUCGGGUAGCAUGCUAUUCGGUGACACACCUAACGGAUAAGCAU